UGGCCUCUUUAUCACAGAAGUCACCAGU
rnacentral:piRNA from 1 species